rnacentral:rRNA from 1 species
UACGAAGGGGGCUAGCGUUGUUCGGAAUUACUGGGCGUAAAGCGCGCGCAGGCGGUCUUCCAAGUCAGUGGUGAAAGCCCGGAGCUCAACUCCGGAACUGCCAUUGAAACUGUGAGACUUGAGGAUGAGAGAGGUGAGUGGAAUUCCCAGUGUAGAGGUGAAAUUCGUAGAUAUUGGGAAGAACACCGGUGGCGAAGGCGGCUCACUGGCUCAUUCUGACGCUCAGGCGCGACAGCGUGGGACUCGA